AUUGAACGCUGGCGGCAGGCCUAACACAUGCAAGUCGAGCGGCAGCGGGCCUUCGGGUGCCGGCGAGCGGCGGACGGGUGAGGAACGCGUGGGAAUCUGCCUAUAGGUGGGGGAUAGCCCGGAGAAAUCCGGAUUAAUACCGCAUAAUACCUGAGGGUUAAAACGGAGGAUCGCAAGACUUCGUGCCUAUAGAUGAGCCCACGUCAGAUUAGCUAGUUGGUAGGGUAAAGGCCUACCAAGGCGACGAUCUGUAGCUGGCCGGAGAGGGUGGCCAGCCACACUGGAACUGAGACACGGUCCAGACUCGUACGGGAGGCAGCAGUGGGGAAUAUUGGACAAUGGGCGCAAGCCUGAUCCAGCCAUGCCGCGUGUGUGAAGAAGGCCUUCGGGUUGUAAAGCACUUUAAGUUGGGAGGAAGGUUCGAUGGCUAAUAUCCAUCGGAAUUGACGUUACCAACAGAAUAAGCACCGGCUAAUUCCGUGCCAGCCGCCGCCGUAA
rnacentral:rRNA from 1 species